rnacentral:rRNA from 1 species
GGGAUAUUGGACAAUGGGGGGAACCCUGAUCCAGCGACCCCGCGUGAGUGAAGAAGUCUCUCGGUAUGUAAAGCUCUAUCAGCAGGGAAGAAGAAAUGACGGUACCUGAGUAAGAAGCCCCGGCUAACUACGUGCCAGCAGCCGCGGUAAUACGUAGGGGGCAAGCGUUAUCCGGAUUUACUGGGUGUAAAGGGAGCGUAGACGGCGGUGCAAGCCAGAUGUGAAAGCCCGGGGCUCAACCCCGGGACUGCAUUUGGAACUGUGCUGCUAGAGUGUCGGAGAGGCAGGCGGAAUUCCUAGUGUAGCGGUGAAAUGCGUAGAUAUUAGGAGGAACACCAGUGGCGAAGGCGGCCUGCUGGACGAUGACUGACGUUGAGGCUCGAAAGCGUGGGGAGCAAACAG